CCAACGGGAAAACUGAAGAGCGUCAGUCAUUACUAUGGUGAUGUUUACAAAAUGGCGACCGAAAUGGAAGAACGCAAUGAAUCAGGCGCGGAUUCUCAUCGUACAUCCCUCCUCGAAGUUAUUGAGGAUCGCAACAGGGCCAUGAACAAGAAAUACCUUGUUCAUCGCCUUGUGUACGUCUCAAAGAUUCGGGGCUCCAAUGUGGACAGAAACGCCAUAAGUGGUAAGUUUG